AGGAUGAACGCUGGCGGCGUGCCUAACACAUGCAAGUCGAACGUCCUGUCUCGCAAGAGGCAGGGAGUGGCGGACGGGUGAGUACCACGUGGGUCAUCUACCGUGAGGUGAGGAAUACCGGCGAGAAAUCGCCGACAAGACCGCAUAGGCUCGAUGCAAGUCGAGCAAAGCUCUUUCGAGAGAGGGAGCGCCACACGAGGAGCCUGCGCCCGAUUAGCUAGCUGGUGGAGUAACGGUUCACCAGGGCGACGAUCGGUAGCUGGUCUGAGAGGACGAUCAGCCACACUGGGAUUGAGAACGGCCCAGACUCCUACGGGGGCAGCAGUGAGGAAUUUUCGUCAAUGGGGGCAACCCUGAACGAGCAACGCCGCGUGCAGGAAGAGGUUUUCGGAUCGUAAACUGCUUUUCGUCGGGGAAGAGAACGGACGGUACCCGAGGAAUCAGCCCCGGCUAACUACGUGCCAGCAGCCGCGGU
rnacentral:rRNA from 1 species